AUUGAACGCUGGCGGCAGGCCUAACACAUGCAAGUCGAGCGAGCGGCGGACGGGUGCGUAAUGUCUGGGAAACUGCCUGAUGGAGGGGGAUAACUACUGGAAACGGUAGCUAAUACCGCAUACCAUCAGAUGUGCCCAGAUGGGAUUAGCUAGUAGGUGGGGUAACGGCUCACCUAGGCGACGAUCCCUAGCUGGUCUGAGAGGAUGACCAGCCACACGGGAAAUGAGACAAGGUCCAGACGCCUAGGGGAGGCAGCAGUGGGGAAUGUUGCAACAUGGGCGCAAGGCUGAUGCAGCCGUGCCGCGUGUGUGAAGAAGGCCUUCGGGUUGUAAAGCACUGUCAGCGGGGAGGCGUUACCCGCAGGAGAAGCACCGGCUAACUCCGUGCCAGCCGCCGCGGUAAUAC
rnacentral:rRNA from 1 species